rnacentral:rRNA from 1 species
GUAGGCAGCAAGCGUUGUUCGGAGUUACUGGGCGUAAAGGGUGUGUAGGCGGCCUGUUAAGUUCCGUGUGAAAUCUCCCGGCUCAACCGGGAGGGUGCGCGGAAAACUGGCGGGCUAGAGUACGGGAUGGGAGAGUAGAAUUCCUGGUGUAGCGGUGAAAUGCGUAGAUAUCAGGAGGAAUACCGGUGGUGUAGACGGCUCUCUGGACCGUAACUGACGCUGAGACACGAAAGCGUGGGUAGCAAACAGGAUUAGAUACCCUGGUAGUCCACGCCCUAAACGAUGCAUAUUUGGUGUAGGUCAUUCAGUUGAUCUGUGCCGGAGCUAACGCGUUAAAUAUGCCGCCUGGGGAGUACAGUCGCAAGGCUG